GUGUUUUCUUAUUUUCUUUUUAAUUUCAUUUAAGAAAAAAAUCUGAGCUCUGAUUGGCUCCUGACAUCACCGAUCAUCGCGGUGCCGGACACGGGAGCUGUCAGCAUUAGAUUCCGGGUGCAGAUUGCAGAACGACGGUGGUGGCGCGCGACUGCGGAUUGCACAGGAGUUAAGGCGCUCGGAUGAUGUAAACAAACUUUGGGCGCGGGAUUGAUGGAGUGAUAAGUUAAGUUAUAUUUGUCUUUGGCUUUGAGUGAUGUUUGUUUACUAAAUUGGGUGCGGCCUAGGAACUGGAAAUUUCGACCUGGCGUUAGGUGAUUUCUCCUCAGCAGUUGCAUCAGCCUUGCUGAAUUUUAGGCUUUUCCACUAUUUACCCAGCAGGACCAGUUCUUGGAUUGACAUCUAGUCCCAGUUCAUGAUAAGAUCACGUUUUUUUAAAGCUGAUGGAAAAGAAUGUAUGACACGGUGCGUUUUAAACAAUUUUAAUGCGGUCAACAUACCACCCGCGAUUUUUUUGCGGAAAUGUCAACUAGAAGGCCUACUGAUUGAGGAACAACAAACCGCGA